rnacentral:lncRNA from 1 species
AUGAAAUAAUAUAAAAGACAAGAACAAUAAUGCAAAAACAAGAGCAAUAUAGAGAAUAGAGAGAGAGAAGUAUUCUCAUUGAUACUUAGAGAUUGUUAGGGGUGGUUUAUAAUGGUAGAAGACCCCUUUAUUUAUAGGGAGGGGGAUGAUUUAUCUACCAAGAAUAGAACUCUAGAAUCUCUCUAAUUAUAGACAUUCACCUUAAAUAGGAGAUUUCAUAACA